rnacentral:lncRNA from 1 species
CUCCUGAGUUACGAGCUGCUCCUCAGUCCUAAGCUCCAGCCUGCUCCCAGAUGGGUGAGGAGACCAUUCCCAACAAUGGGAGUGUGGUAAAGGAGACUGGAAAUUAGCAGUGGGCAAACUGGACCCAGGAAAGGGAAUGAAGGCUGAAGAUUUUGGGAAGCUGUGCGUGACACUGGUGAAGCAGAGAGGCCUGAACCGGAGAUUAGCUAUUUAUCAGCUGCAUGAUGGAAUGAGAAAUAGCUGCAACAUAUUUCCAUAUUUGGACACAAAGCAAGCUGAACCUACUAAAUGAAAAGUAAGUAUAGCGUUGAAAACAUGGCUUGAAAUGUGUCCU